GUAGAAGAAGCAAAAUAAGGGCGCAUGGGGAAUGCCUAUGGCUCUCAGCGGCGAAGAAGGACGUGAUAAGCUGCGUAAAGGCUAGGGGAGUGGCACAUACACAUAGAUCCUAGCAUAUCCGAAUGGGGCAACCCACCCUGAGUAAUUGGGGUAUCCGAAAGGAGGCAAACGGGGGGAACUGAAACAUCUAAGUACCCCUAGGAAGAGAAAACAACAGUGAUUCCGUAAGUAGUGGCGAGCGAACGCGGACAAGCCCAAACCGAUGACGUUACGGCGUUAUAGGGGUUAUAGGACUGAUUUUUAGGAACUACAUGAAAUUGAAUUGUCUGGGAAGGCAAACCGUAGCGGGUGAAAGUCCCUUAAAUGUAAGGUGUAGAACUGUAUCAGGAUCCUGAGUAGGUGGGGACAGGAGGAAUCCCCUCUGAAUUCGGCGGCACCAUCCGCCAAGGCUAAAUACGACUGAGAGACCGAUAGUGAACGAGUACCGUGAGGGAAAGGUGAAAAGAACCGGGAGUACCGGGGUGAAAUAGAACCUGAAACCAUGCGCUUACAAGCGGAGGGAGCCUUAGGGUGACCUCGUGCCUUUUGCAUAAUGAGCCUACGAGUUGUUCUUACUAGCGAGGUUAAUGUUUUAAGGACAGGAGCCGAAGCGAAAGCGAGUCUGAAAAGGGCGUUUAGUUAGUGAGAGCAGACGCGAAACUUGGUGAUCUAUCCGUGGUCAGGUUGAAGUGUGGGUAACACUGCAUGGAGGACCGAACCAGUUAACGUUGAAAAGUUUUUGGAUGAACUGCGGAUAGGGGUGAAAGGCCAAUCAAACUGAGAAAUAGCUCGUACUCCCCGAAAUGUUUUUAGGAACAGCGUUGUGGGGCGUUUAUGUCAGGUAGAGCUACUGAUAGGAUGCGGGGGAGUCAAAUCCUACCAAAUUCUGACAAACUCCGAAUGGGCAUAAACAGACACAGCAGUGAGGGCCGGGGUGCUAAGGUCACGGUCCGAGAGGGGAACAACCCAGAGCAACCGCUAAGGUCCCUAAGUAUAUACUAAGUUGAACAAAGGAAGUCUGACUGCCGAGACAGCCAGGAUGUUAGCUUGGAAGCAGCUAUACAUUUAAAGAGUGCGUAACAGCUCACUGGUCGAGCGGGGCGGGCGUCGAUAAUAAACGGGCAUCAAGUAUAUCACCGAAGCGAUGCGAUUAGUAAUAAUCGGUAGGGGAGCAUUCCAACGUCAGUGAAGUUGUAGCGUGAGCUAUGGUGGAGAUUUUGGAAAAGCAAAUGUAGGCAUAAGUAACGACAAUGUAUGUGAGAACCAUACACACCGUAAAGCUAAGGAUUCCUCAGCUAUGUCAAUCAACUGAGGGUUAGUCGGGGCCUAAGGGGAAGGCGAAGGCCGCACCUGACGGACAGCAGGUUAAUAUUCCUGCACCUGAUACAAGUGUGAAGCGUACGGGGUAGGGGAGAGAGUACGAAGUGACGGAAGUCUUCGUUGAGCGGCGUUUACGGACAAAGCGAACUUUUGAACUGGCCUCCAAGAAAAAGCGCUGAAACAUCAGCUUGUAUUAGCCCGUACCGUAAACCGACACAGGUAGCUGGGUAGAAUAUACCAAGGUGCUCAAGUGAAUCACGGUUAAGGAACUCGGCAAAUUAGUCCUGUAACUUCGGGAGAAGGGACACUCUGGCGCGAGCUAGAGUCGCAGAGAAAUGGCCCAGGCGACUGUUUAACAAAAACACAGGGCAACGCAAAGUGGAGACACGCAGUAUGUUGCCUGACACCUGCCCGGUGCUGGAAGGUUAAGAGGGGAGCUUAGCGCAAGCGAAGGUUUGAAUCGAAGCCCCAGUAAACGGCGGCCGUAACUAUAACGGUCCUAAGGUAGCGAAAUUCCUUGUCGGGUAAGUUCCGACCUGCACGAAUGGUGUAACGAUCUGGGCACUGUCUCAACCGUGAGCUUGGUGAAAUUGUAGUAGCGGUGAAGAUGCCGCUUACCCGUCACGGGACGGAAAGACCCCGUGCACCUUUACUACAACUUUGCGUUGGAUAUGGGAUAUGAAUGUGUAGGAUAGGUGGGAGGCUAUGAAGUGGAUUCGUCAGGAUUCAUGGAGCCAACGUUGAAAUACCACCCUUUUGUAUUCUGUGUUCUAACUUAUUAUUGAGGACCGCGCAUGGUGGGUAGUUUGACUGGGGUGGUCGCCUCCAAAAGAGUAACGGAGGCUUCCAAAGGUUAGCUCAUGACGGACGGUAAUCGUCAGGGGAGUGCAAAAGCACAAGCUAGCUUGACUGUGAGACCGACGGGUCGAUCAGGUGGGAAACCAGGGUUUAGUGAUCCGGUGGUUGCGCAUGGGUGUGCCAUCGCUCAAAGGAUAAAAGGUACGCCGGGGAUAACAGGCUGAUCAUCCCCAAGAGCUCACAUCGACGGGAUGGUUUGGCACCUCGAUGUCGGCUCGUCACAUCCUGGGGCUGGAGAAGGUCCCAAGGGUUCGGCUGUUCGCCGAUUAAAGUGGCACGCGAGCUGGGUUCAGAACGUCGUGAGACAGUUCGGUCCCUAUCUGUGAUGGGCGUAGGAAGUUUGACGGGGGCUGACCUUAGUACGAGAGGACCGGGUUGGACUCACCUCUGGUGAAUCGGUUGUAACGCCAGUUGCACGGCCGAGUAGCUACGUGGGCAACAGAUAAGCGCUGAAAGCAUCUAAGUGCGAAACUGGCCUGAAGAUGAGACUUCCACAUAAGGGACGUUGUAGACGACGACGUUGAUAGGCUGCAAGUGUAAAGGUGGUGACAUCAAAGCUGAGCAGUACUAAUUGCCCAAUAGCUUCUUU
rnacentral:rRNA from 1 species